AUGGGAUUUUAUUUAUCCAAAGGAUAUUUCCCAGCAAGUGAAUGGCCAUGAUUGCGGUGUGUUCGUACUGACAUAUAUGGCCUCCAUUAUUAUGUGUGGGGCAAUCGUACCUUUUUCUACGGAGGAAAUUUGUGGCAUUCGGGAUCGUGUGCUGGUAGAGUUAUCAAAAGGCCAAUUAGUUGGAUUUUGACGUUCAAGGGACAGCCGGCCGGAUUUUGACAUGCUUUAUUAUUGUUCAAAAAGGAGAGAGAGAAAAGCCCUAGUAGAAACUUGGACUGAAAAUGUUACAAGAUCGGGUUCUAGGAUUUAAGCAAUUGU